AUGCAGUUUAUGUUGCUUUUUAGUCGUCAGGGAAAGCUUCGACUGCAGAAAUGGUAUGUCCCACUGUCAGACAAAGAGAAGAAAAAGAUCACAAGAGAACUUGUUCAAACCGUUUUAGCAAGGAAACCUAAAAUGUGCAGCUUCCUCGAGUGGCGAGAUCUGAAGAUUGUUUACAAAAGAUAUGCUAGUCUGUAUUUUUGCUGUGCUAUUGAGGAUCAGGACAAUGAACUAAUUACCCUGGAAAUAAUUCAUCGUUAUGUGGAAUUACUUGACAAGUAUUUUGGCAGUGUGUGUGAGCUUGAUAUCAUCUUUAAUUUUGAGAAGGCCUAUUUUAUUUUGGAUGAAUUUCUUUUGGGAGGGGAAGUUCAGGAGACAUCCAAAAAAAAUGUCCUUAAAGCAAUCGAACAGGCCGAUCUCCUGCAGGAGAGCCAGAAUGAAGAAUGGGGAGGUUUGUCUGAGGAUAUCUUAUGAUAAAGAGCAGUCUAAGGCUUUAGUCCCUUUGACCCCCAACUUAUUUAUUGGAUGCAAAAGAAGCUGAAACCCCACGUAGUGUUCUUGAAGAAAUUGGACUGACAUAACUCUCCUCCCUUGUUGCUGACUCCUGUGGCAUUUCACAUACUGUAGAUGGUCACUGCCUUCAUGUCCAUGUUAGCUAAUGGUGUAAGAUGAUGUCUUGUCAGUAUUACUGUUUUGCUAAGCUGCUUCAUUCAGGCCUACACAAUUUUUUAAAGGGAAUUUUGGUUAAUUAAAUGAUUAGGGACUUCAUAUAAAUGUGAAUUAGAAAGAUACCUCUUCUGGAUAUUUUAAAAGGUUACAGGUCAGUUUCUCAAUGAUUAUGUGCAUAUAUGAAAAUGACAUGUAUACAUGUAUAUCAAACAAUUUGACAAUAUGCAUCUAUACUGUAUUUGACAAAGGAAACAAAUUACAAUGUGAAACUUGGUUUAUGAAACCAAAGACUAGUGCAUUUUAUUUUAUAUAAUACAAAUAAAGGGAAUUAACAUGUCAUGUGGAAUGAAAAUUUAAUGUUGAAACUUUAACCAAAAAACAAACAAAAAUUUUUUACCAAAGACCCCUAUUGGUCUCUACAUACUUUAAAACAAAGGGAAUACAGACUUAGAUGACUAAAUUGGAUUGAUGCUGAUUCACACUGAAAUUAUGUCCUAAACAUUCUGAGUGAAUGGGAUAAGGAACAAAGACCACUUCAUAUUAGUGAGCACAUAAUUUUUAAGGCCAAGGCACAUUUGACUCCUGAGAUGAAUAUUUUGUGGUCCUAAUCAUUUAGCAAUUUGGUUGGCUUGUUUUUUAUGCCCCCAAAUAAAGUGGGAAUGCAAAAUGACCACAAAUUUUCCAUAACAGUAUCUUACAGAAACAUCUUGCUUUCUUCAGUGUUGCAUAAAAUCAUUGUUCAAAGAAUGAAUAUUCCUUCUGGAGUGCUUGUUAAAGCCAAAUUUAUUUUGCUUCCCUAUUGCGUCCUUCCAAUUAGAAGUGCUGCAAACUUCACAGUAGUUUCCUUUCCUUCCAUGGCACUGCCUAGUUAUCAAAGUCUUAGAAAAAUUUUUAAAAAAGCAUUUCAUUUAACAAAGUGAACAUGAAUGAAAUAAAAUGGCAUUAGUUGGCCCUGUAUUUUUUAAAGUUCUAUAACUGUUCAGCAUCACUUUUAUACAUCAUUAUACAUAUCUAAACAUUGUGUUUAUAGUUUACACUUUCAUUUGUAUAUGCUGGGCUGGAUUAAGCUUUGUUGUGAUUGUGACCAACAUUCAGGCCACGUGAGCACUGUCUUACCACAUUGCCAAUUAGUUGUAAUAAAUGUUCAACCUACAAACACUGUAGUGUGUUUUUCUCUUUCCAAAAGUUUGUCAAACUGGAGGGCUGCUGAAGGAAGAUUUUUUUCCCCAGUAAAAUGUUGGUAAUUUCUUUCCACUUGACUCCCCCCACCCUUUGAGUGUAGUGGUGGGCUAUAAGCACACACACGAAAAAUAGACGGUUCAAGGAGUCUUGUACUUCAAAUUCAAUGUUAAAAAUACGUGGAUUCCAUGCUACCAACAACUUACACAUUUAUUUUCAAUCAAUAAAUGCCGCUUU